GACAGAGGUGCCAAGCGUUAGGCGGAAUCACUGGGCUUAAAGCGUGUGUAGGCGGAUGCCUAAGUACCUUGUGAAAUCCCACGGCUCAACCGUGGAACUGCUGGGUAUACUGGGGUGUCUUGGGUCAUCUAGGGGCUGCCGGAACAAAUGGUGGAGCGGUGAAAUGCGUAGAUAUCAUUUGGAACGCCAACGGCGAAAGCAGGCAGCUGGGGAUGCACCGACGCUGAGACACGAAAGCCAGGGGAGCGAACGGG
rnacentral:rRNA from 1 species